rnacentral:rRNA from 1 species
AACGAACGCUGGCGGCAGGCUUAACACAUGCAAGUCGAGCGAGACCUUCGGGUCUAGCGGCGGUCGGGUGAGUAACGCGUGGGAACGUGCCCUUCUCUACGGAAUAGCCCCGGGAAAGUGGGAGUAAUACCGUAUACGCCCUUUGGGGGAAAGAUUUCUCGGGGCAGGAUCGGCCCGCGUUGGAUUCGGUGGUUGGUGGGGUAAUGGCCCACCAAGCCGACGAUCCAUAGCUGGUUUGAGAGGAUGCUAAGCCACACUGGGACUGAGACCCGGCCCAGACUCCUACGGGAGGCAGCAGUGGGUAAUCUUAGACAAUGGGGGCAACCCUGAUCUAGCCAUGCCGCGUGAGUGAUGAAGGCCUUAGGGUUGUAAAGCUCUUUCAGCUGGGAAGAUAAUGACGGUACCAGCAGAAGAAGCCCCGGCUAACUCCGUG